CAAAAUAAAAAAGGGGACUCUCUGGCGGGAGGCUCUCUUUUCUCUCUCUCUCGGAUUCUCUCCGACGGGGGCUCUCUCUUUCGCAUUCGGGGGGCUCGCAUUCUCUGUGUGGACUCCCGCUCGCUCGAUCAUCAUCGUUCUUUCUCUCUGUAACUGCUCGAUGGAGCUUCCAUGGCAGAUCUCGAAACCCUAGCCUCGGGCAAUCUCGGUAGAGAUCCGCCAUUCCUCGGGGGAAAAUCUCCGCCUCGCGCGCUGUCCACCAGAGGAAACUUCCGCCUCCGUCUCCAGCGUUUCUCCGUCGAGCGAGUCGAAGGCUAGGGUUUUCUCUCAUUAGCGAGGAUCGGAGAUCAAAGGCCGGCAGUCGGGGAUUGCGAGAGGAGUUCAGUUUCGUUCUCGUUCUACCGGUUCUCACUCGGCAGAUCCCUCUUUUUCUCUCAAUCGCUCUCUCUCUGGCUCUGGGGAUUUGAUUCUUUCUCGGAGGUAGGAUCGCUCGGUCGAAGGAAAUUCUCUCUCGGUUCUGGCUCUCGCUCGCUCUCUUGAACUCGAUCGGAGGUAGGAUCGCUCGAUCAAAGGAGGUUUUCUCUCAGUUCUGGCUCUCGCUCUCUCUCUGGAGUUCGAUCGGUGACUCUCUCGAUCGGGGAUUCUCUCGCCGGAUCUGACUGGCCGGAUCGGCGUCUCUCCCUCUCGAUUGCUCUCUCGCGCGUCGGAUCUGACUCGCUGGGGCGGUCGGUCGAGGAGCUCGAAGCACAGGGCUCAGAUUCGCGUCGACAGCAGUGGCGACGACAGUAUCGACGGUAGCGGUGGUGGCAGCGACAGCAGCGGUGGUGACGGCUUCCCAUCGUUUCUUUAUUCUGCUUUUCUGAUCUCGCCAUCUUCGUGUGGUCCAAUCCAGAGGAACCGCCUCAGCUGGUAGCCGAAGCGUAAACCCCCAGAUGCUACGUAAGCGGGAGGACCCACCACCCCUGGCAGCACACUUAAGUCACCAAGUAACUCCAUUAGAGCCUUUGCUUCGCAAAGGUUUCGAACUCCUCACCUCUCUCGCAAAGGUUCACUGAAGCCUAUUCAGCGGAGCCACCACGGCCGGUGGUUCACAAUUUUAAUAGUUCAUAGGAUACCUUUGUGAAAAAAUACUUUGCAUCAAAGUUGUUUAGCCUAUUGUUUAGCAUUUCUUUAUGACUUGACAUGAUUUUCGGAAGUUGCGAGUUUUGGGUAUCACAUGAAUUACAUAUUGACUGCCUUUUUCUUCAUGAAUAUACAUGUUGCAUGAACAUGUUCAAUGAUGCAUAUGUUUAGUAAGUGAUCCUUCGUCAA